ensembl:lncRNA
GGAAGGGAAGCCAUCCAGAGGGACCUGGACAGGCUGGAGAAGUGGGCCCACGAGAACCCAGUGAGGUUCAAUAAGGCCAUGUGCAGGGUUGGGGCAAUCCCAGGUGGGAUACAAAGUGGGGGAAGAUCUCCUUGAGAGCAGCCCUGCGGAGAAGGACUUGGGGGUCCUGGUGGACAAGAAGCUGGACAUGAGCCAGCAGUGUGCGCUUGCAGCCUGGAAGGCUAACUGUGUUCUGGGCUGCAUUAAAAAAGGGGUGGCCAGCAGGGAGAAGGAGGUAACUGUCCCCCUUGUGAGGCUCCAUCUGGAGUACUGCAUCCAGGCCUGGGGCCCCCAGUACAGGAAGGAUGUGGAGCUCUUGGAGUGGGUCCAGAGGAGGGCCACUAAGAUGAUUAGAGGGCUGGAGAACCUCUCCUAUGAGGAAAGGUUGAGGGAACUGGGAAUGCUUAGUUUGGAGAAGAGAAAGCUCCAGCGAGACCUCAUUGUGGCCUUCCAGUACUUGAAGGGAGCAUAUAAACAGGAAGGGGAACAGCUGUUUACAAGGGUAGAUAGUGAUAGGACAGGACAGGGAGGAAUGGUCUUAAACUGAGACAGGGGAGGUUUAGGUUGGAUAUUAGGAAGAAGUUUUUCAUGCAGAGAGUGGUGACGCACUAGAACAGGUUGCCCAAGGAGGUUGUGGAUGCCCCAUCCCUGGAGGCGUUCAAGGCCAGGCUGGAUGUGGCUCUGGGCAGCCUGGUCUAGUGGUUGGCAAUCCUGCACAUAGCAGGGGGUUGAAACUAGAUGAUCCUUUUCAAUCAAGGCCAUUCUAUGAUUCUAUGAUGAUAUGAUCAGACUAUGAAGAUGUUUUAAAUCAUUAACAUUGUUUCUUUUUUUCCCUCAGAAAUCUCUAUCUAGAAAAUCUUGAAAAAACAUUACCUCGUGUCAGUAUUAUAUUUAGUCUGAUCAUUUUUUUCCUUCUAGUUGUGGGUAAAUAGCGAUAUUUCCUUCUCAGGAAGGAAAUUUCUAAAAUAUUUUGAAGAGGGAUUUAAACAAGAGAUUCAGAGGGAAAAAAAGAAAAAAUCAUCCUAUUGUAAUGGUUAACUAGGGGAGUGGUAUAACAUUUGUCAAAGCAUUUGGGUAAAAACAUUUUUUCUUCUUCUGGCUACAUGAGUGAAAAAUAAAGAGCAGGUGAUUCAAUUGUUACAUGUGUUCUUAAAUACCUAUUUGCAGCUGUAAAUGGUUUUAGUGAACAGUUGUGUACCUGAAAUUUGUGUGUGCUUUGCAGAUCUAGAACAAUUCCUUUUUUUUUUUUUUUUUUUUUUUUUUUUUACCUUUUUAAAUGUUAUGGAAAUUGCUUGCUAUGAAUCUGGGUAAUCAACUGUAAACUUUUUCAAG